rnacentral:rRNA from 1 species
CGCGUGGGGCAGCUAUAAUGCAGUCGACGAACUCUGGUAUUGAUUGGUGCUUGCAUCAUGAUUUACAUUUGAGUGAGUGGCGAACUGGUGAGUAACACGUGGGAAACCUGCCCAGAAGCGGGGGAUAACACCUGGAAACAGAUGCUAAUACCGCAUAACAACUUGGACCGCAUGGUCCGAGUUUGAAAGAUGGCUUCGGCUAUCACUUUUGGAUGGUCCCGCGGCGUAUUAGCUAGAUGGUGGGGUAACGGCUCACCAUGGCAAUGAUACGUAGCCGACCUGAGAGGGUAAUCGGCCACAUUGGGACUGAGACACGGCCCAAACUCCUACGGGAGGCAGCAGUAGGGAAUCUUCCACAAUGGACGAAAGUCUGAUGGAGCAACGCCGCGUGAGUGAAGAAGGGUUUCGGCUCGUAAAACUCUGUUGUUAAAGAAGAACAUAUCUGAGAGUAACUGUUCAGGUAUUGACGGUAUUUAACCAGAAAGCCACGGCUAACUACGUGCCAGCAGCCGCGGUAAUACGUAGGUGGCAAGCGUUGUCCGGAUUUAUUGGGCGUAAAGCGAGCGCAGGCGGUUUUUUAAGUCUGAUGUGAAAGCCUUCGGCUCAACCGAAGAAGUGCAUCGGAAACUGGGAGACUUGAGUGCAGAAGAGGACAGUGGAACUCCAUGUGUAGCGGUGAAAUGCGUAGAUAUAUGGAAGAACACCAGUGGCGAAGGCGGCUGUCUGGUCUGUAACUGACGCUGAGGCUCGAAAGUAUGGGUAGCAAACAGGAUUAGUCCCUUUUGGUA